rnacentral:rRNA from 1 species
GACGAACGCUGGCGGCGCGCCUAAUGCAUGCAAGUCGAGCGACGCAUGCCCGGUGGGUAACCACUAGGUAUGACGGAGCGGCGAACGGGUGAGUAACACGUGAGUAACCUGCCCCGAAGACCGGGAUAGCCCGGGGAAACCCGGAUUAAUACCGGAUACCCUCUCUGGAUCGCAUGGUCCGGUGAGGAAAUGCCUUUGUGCUUCGGGAUGGACUCGCGGCCUAUCAGCUUGUUGGUGAGGUAACGGCUCACCAAGGCUACGACGGGUAGCUGGUCUGAGAGGACGAUCAGCCACACUGGGACUGAGACACGGCCCAGACUCCUACGGGAGGCAGCAGCAGGGAAUCUUGUCCAAUGGGCGCAAGCCUGAGACAGCGACGCCGCGUGAGGGAUGAAGGCCUUCGGGUUGUAAACCUCUUUCAGGAGGGACGAAAUUGACGAUACCUCCAGAAGAAGCCCCGGCCAACUACGUG